rnacentral:tRNA from 1 species
GGGCGUGUGGCGGAACUGGUAUACGCGUGCGACUCAAAAUCGUAUGGUCUUACGACCGUGUGGGUUCGAAACCCACCAUGCCCA